GGCAAAACGGAUGACCUAGAGGAUUUCUUCGGGCAGCUUGACCCAGAAGAUGAGGUGUUCGAUGAUCUGAUGAUCAAAGAGAAAAUUCCAGAGAUCAAUGACCGCAUACGCUGGAUGGCACUUGCUCGGGUGCACACUGAUAAGACCUUCAGCAAGUCGGCGUUCUUCAAGGACAUGCGGGCAGCUUGGAACCCGGCGCAGCCGGUGAGAUUCCGGCCGGUUGGUGCCAAUUUGUUUGUGGUGCAGGCUUCAUGCCUUGGUGAUUGGGAGCAGAUCAUGUUCCAUGGGCCAUGGCUUUUUACAUUUUGGGUUGUACUUCUUCAACCAUACGAUGGACUCAGCAGGGCGGAGGAUGUUCAGUUCGUUCAUAUUCCUAUUUGGUUGCAUACACAGAAACUUCCUGAUGGGUAUUGCAGUAAGGAUAUUGUGGAAAAAUUGAUCCGCAAGGCUGGUGAGAUCUUGGAGUUCAAGAAAUUCUAA
rnacentral:rRNA from 1 species